GAUGAACGCUGGCGGCGUGCCUAAUACAUGCAAGUCGAGCGAACAGACGAGGAGCUUGCUCCUCUGACGUUAGCGGCGGACGGGUGAGUAACACGUGGAUAACCUACCUAUAAGACUGGGAUAACUUCGGGAAACCGGAGCUAAUACCGGAUAAUAUAUUGAACCGCAUGGUUCAAUAGUGAAAGACGGUUUUGCUGUAACUUAUAGAUGGAUCCGCGCCGCAUUAGCUAGUUGGUAAGGUAACGGCUUACCAAGGCGACGAUGCGUAGCCGAGCUGAGAGGGUGAUCGGCCACACGGGAACUGAGACACGGUCCAGACGCCUACGAGAGGCAGCAGUAGGGAAUCUGCCGCAAUGGGCGAAAGCCUGACGGAGCAACGCCGCGUGAGUGAUGAAGGUCUUCGGAUCGUAAAACUCUGUUAUUAGGGAAGAACAAAUGUGUAAGUAACUAUGCACGUCUUGACGGUACCUAAUCAGAAAGCCACGGCUAACUACGUG
rnacentral:rRNA from 1 species